rnacentral:rRNA from 1 species
GAUUAACGCUGGCGGCGUGCAUAACACAUGCAAGUCGAACGAUGAAACUUAAAUGAUUUCUUCGGAAUGAACUUAAGUGAAUUAGUGGCGGACGGGUGAGUAACGCGUGAGUAACCUGCCUUACACAAGGGGAUAGCCGUUGGAAACGACGAAUAAUACCCUAUGAAACUAUCACUUCGCAUGAAGCGAUAGUCAAAGUGUUAGCGGUGUAAGAUGGACUUGCGUCUGAUUAGCUAGUUGGUGAGAAAAAAGCCCACCAAGGCAACGAUCAGUAGCCGGCUUGAGAGAGUGUACGGCCACAUUGGGACAGAGACACGGCCCAGACUCCUACGGGAGGCAGCAGUGGGGAAUUUUGCACAAUGGGUGAAACCCUGAUGCAGCGACGCCGCGUGAUUUAGAAGGCCUUCGGGUUGUAAAAAUCUUUUGUAUAGGCAGAAAAUGACAGUACUAUACGAAUAAGGCCCGGCUAAUUACGUG